rnacentral:rRNA from 1 species
UAAUACGGAGGGUGCGAGCGUUAAUCGGAAUUACUGGGCGUAAAGCGCGCGUAUGUGGUCUGAUAAGUCGGAUGUGAAAGCCCCGAGCUUAACUUGGGAACGGCAUUCGAUACUGUCUGACUAGAGUAUGGUAGAGGAAAGCGGAAUUCCCGGUGUAGCGGUGAAAUGCGUAGAUAUCGGGAGGAACAUCAGUGGCGAAGGCGGCUUUCUGGACUAAUACUGACACUGAGGCGCGAAAGCGUGGGUAGCAAACAGGAUUAGAUACCCUGGUAGUCCACGCCCUAAACGAUGUCAACUAGCCGUUGGGUUCAUUUAAGAAUUUAGUGGCGCAGCUAACGCGAUAAGUUGACCGCCUGGGGAGUACGGCCGCAAGGUUA